rnacentral:lncRNA from 1 species
AGACUUGUCAGAAUGGUGAAGGCAGAGACGAUGUCCAUCUGGGUUACUGUUGGAUCUCAGAGCAUGUGCACACUAGGAAAACCUCAGUUUGUGCCCUUAAAGCCUUCAACUGAUUGGAUGAGGCCCCACCCAGACUGUCAAAGGAAAAAGAAUUUAUCUGGAAAGCUUUGAAGAAAUCAUUGACUCUUCAUUUUACAGACGAAGAAAUCCAGACCCAGGGAGACGCCUGACCAGCCUUAGGUCUCAUACCAUUAAUGGGAGAGCCAGGUCCUAGGGCCAGCCAGGACUACUGGUAUGGCUGGCUGUGUUAAAAUAUUGAAAUGCUUUUCUCUUUUC